GCUUCUGGUCAAUUCCCUGGAAGGUCAGAGAAAGAACCUCCUUCAACUCUUAUGUGGACCUUAUUCCUAUUAGCACAGCAUUACGACAGAAGGGGACAAUAUGAAAUCGCUCUUUCUAAAAUUGAUGAGGCCAUUGAGCACACCCCAACCGCGAUUGAUUUAUACUCAAGCAAGGUUGGUUAGGAUUCUUAAUGAAAGUUUUUUUAAUGUAAAUGUUUUCUGGAAUAAGUUUUAUGGAUUUUUUUCUUAAUAUAAUCUUAUGAUUUGUUUCCCUUCUUAAUCUUG